rnacentral:sRNA from 1 species
GCCAUACUACGGUGCAUCCCGGUGCAAAGUAAACGAUGACCCUCGGGGAACUCCAGGGUAAAAUACGUGUCAAUUUGAAAACCGUUCCUGACCUGGGGCAUUGCCCCGGGUCAGUUUUCUU